GGUCCAAUUUCGAAGUAGAGUAGAUUAGAAGGAUAAUCUGACCCUACUGAACCACUCUACUUCGAGUUUGUACCC
rfam:Haemonchus contortus, ISE/inbred ISE, WGS project CAVP01000000 data, contig: Hcontortus_26643